rnacentral:rRNA from 1 species
CACGUAGGGCGCAAGCGUUGUCCGGAAUUACUGGGCGUAAAGCGCACGUAGGCGGCUUUGUAAGUAAGAGGUGAAAGCCCGGAGCUCAACUCCGGAACUGCCUUUUAGACUGCAUCGCUUGAAUCCAGGAGAGGUGAGUGGAAUUCCGAGUGUAGAGGUGAAAUUCGUAGAUAUUCGGAAGAACACCAGUGGCGAAGGCGGCUCACUGGACUGGUAUUGACGCUGAGGUGCGAAAGCGUGGGGAGCAAACAGG